GCGGGUGUGGCGGAAUUGGCAGACGCGAUAGAUUUAGGUUCUAUUGGCAACACCGUGCAGGUUCAAGUCCUGUCACCCGCACCA
rnacentral:tRNA from 27 species